UACGUAGGGAGCAAGCGUUGUCCGGAAUCAUUGGGCGUAAAGCGCGCGUAGGUGGCCUCAUAAGUCCGCUGUGAAAGUCAAAGGCUCAACCUUUGAAAGCCGGUGGAUACUGUGAGGCUAGAGUACGGAAGAGGCGAGUGGAAUUCCUGGUGUAGCGGUGGAAUGCGCAGAUAUCAGGAGGAACACCAACGGCGAAGGCAGCUCGCUGGGACGGUACUGACACUAAGGCGCGAAAGCGUGGGGAGCGAACAGG
rnacentral:rRNA from 1 species